UACAGAGGUGGCAAGCGUUGUUCGGAUUCAUUGGGCGUAAAGGGUCCGUAGGCGGCCCGGAAAGUCGGAUGUGAAAUCCCACGGCUCAACCGUGGAACUGCAUUCGAAACUUCCAGGCUCGAGCGCAGGAGGGGUGAAGGGAAUUCCCGGUGUAAGAGUGAAAUCUGCAGAGAUCGGGAGGAACACCAGUCGCGAAGGCGCUUCACUGGACUGCUGCUGACGCUCAGGGACGAAAGCCAGGGGAGCAAAC
rnacentral:rRNA from 1 species